GCCCGGUUAGCUCAAUCGGUAGAGCGUGAGACUCUUAAUCUCAAGGUUGCGGGUAAGUUACUUAACUUGGACUUGAGAUUGUGAUGAGAUUCGAAAUGAAACUAACAAAAUCAUGAACAGGUUCGACCCCCGCAUCGGGCU